rnacentral:rRNA from 1 species
AGGUCAAGCUACAAAGGGCGCAUGGUGAAUGCCUUGGCAUCAGGAGCCGAUGAAGGACGUGAUAAGCUGCGAUAAGCUUCGGGUAGGCGCACAUAGCCUGAGAUCCGAAGAUCUCCGAAUGAGGAAACUCACAUGGGAAACCCCAUGUAUCAUUAAGUGAAUACAUAGCUUAAUGAAGGUAACCCAGGGAACUGAAACAUCUAAGUACCUGGAGGAAGAGAAAGAAAAAUCGAUUUUCUUAGUAGCGGCGAGCGAAAGGGAAAGAGCCCAAACCGGAAACUUGUUUCCGGGGUUGUGGACAUAACAUAAAAGUGGAGGCUAUUGUAACUGAAGAGAACUGGAAAGUUCCACCGUAGAAGGUAAUAGUCCUGUAAGUGAAACGAGAAGACCACGAGUUAUGAUCCAGAGUACCACGAGACACGUGAAACCUUGUGGGAAGCAGGGAGGACCACCUCCCAAGGCUAAAUACUACCUGAUGACCGAUAGUGAAGCAGUACCGUGAGGGAAAGGUGAAAAGAACCCCGGGAGGGGAGUGAAAUAGAACCUGAAACCGUGUGCCUACAACCGCUCAGAGCCCCUUAUGAGGGUGAUGAGGUGCUUUUUGUAGAACGAGCCAACGAGUUACGGUAUGUAGCAAGGUUAAGUACUUAAGGUACGGAGCCGAAGGGAAACCGAGUCUGAAUAGGGCGACUAGUUGCAUGCCGUAGACCCGAAACCGGGUGACCUAUCCAUGGCCAGGUUGAAGCGAGGGUAAAACCUCGUGGAGGACCGAACCACGUUGCUGUUGAAAAAGCAUGGGAUGAGCUGUGGAUAGCGGAGAAAUUCCAAUCGAACCCGGAGAUAGCUGGUUCUCUCCGAAAUAGCUUUAGGGCUAGCGUCGAGUAUGAGUAGUGGAGGUAGAGCACUGAAUGGGCUAGGGGGCAUAGCGCUUACCGAACCUUAUCAAACUCCGAAUGCCACAUACUUUGAGCUCGGCAGUCAGACUACGAAUGAUAAGAUCCGUGGUCAAAAGGGAAACAGCCCAGAUCGUCAGCUAAGGUCCCAAAGUGUAAGUUAAGUGGGAAAGGAUGUGAGAUUUCUAAGACAACUAGGAUGUUGGCUUAGAAGCAGCCAUUCAUUAAAAGAGUGCGUAAUAGCUCACUAGUCGAGAGAUCUUGCGCCGAAAAUGUAACGGGGCUAAACUUACCACCGAAGCUACGGGCUUGAACAUAGUUCAAGCGGUAGGAGAGCGUCGUAACCGGGCUGAAGUCGUACCGUAAGGAGCGGUGGACUGGUUACGAGUGAGAAUGUUGGCAUCAGUAGCGAGAUGUGGGUGAGAAUCCCACAGGCCGAAAACCUAAGGUUUCCUCAGGAAGGUUCGUCCGCUGAGGGUUAGUCGGGACCUAAGCCGAGGCCGAAAGGCGUAGGUGAUGGACAACUGGUUGAUAUUCCAGUACCACUACCAUCGUUAUUAUCGAUGGCGUGACGCAGGAGGAUAGUGUGUGCUAGCUAUUGGAUGCUAGUCUAAGCGUUUAGGCAGUGAGAGUAGGCAAAUCCGCUCUCAUAAUGCUGAGGCGUGAUGGGGAAGGUUC